GGACAAGCUAUCUUUCCAUUUAUCAGAUCAAAUCCAUCUCUCUCUCCCCAUUUCCCAUUUCCCCUUUUCCUUCUUCAUUCUCUCUCUACUUCAUAUAUUUCCAUAUCUUCAAACAAAAACUGGAAAAAAAAAAAUUAAAAAAAUUAUACAUAUAUAUUGGACCAUCUAUGUUUAUUAGAUGUUUGGUGUAUGUAAAUUUAUGUAUUUUUGUGAUUUGAAUGUGAAAGAAUUGGUAAGAAUACAGAAAGAGAAAAUUUUUGGGGGUUUGUGUUGAGGAUUGUGAGCAUGCCCUCAGUUCUUACUGUGCCUCCUCUUAGAUCUUAGUGUUUUUGAAGAUUUCACAUCUGGGUUUUCUUUAAUCAGGGGCGUUGAAUUCUGUGUGGGUUGAUCGUGAAAGGAUCUGAUGUUUUUGGAUUGAAUUCGAGGAUAUCCAAGUUGUGCCUUGCUGGUUUGUGGGUUUUCUGGAAUUCUUCGAAGAAAGGGAAAAUGCAAUCCGAUCUUGGAAAGUUAUUUAUUGGUGGAAUUUCUUGGGACACAAAUGAAGAUCGUUUGAAGGAGUAUUUUAGUGGGUAUGGGGAAGUUUUGGAAGCAGUAAUUAUGAAGGAUCGGAGCACAGGGCGCGCCCGUGGUUUUGGUUUUGUUGUCUUUGCCGACCCGGUAGUUGCAGAGAGAGUCAUUAAGGAGAAACACAACAUUGAUGGCAGGAUGGUUGAGGCAAAAAAGGCUGUUCCAAGGGAUGACCAAAGCACAAUGAGUAGAUGCAGCAGUAGUAUUCAGGGGUCUCCCGGUCCAGGACGCACGAGGAAGAUAUUCGUUGGAGGUUUAGCUUCUACAGUCACCGAGAGCGACUUUAGAAUGUAUUUUGAGCAGUUUGGGACCAUCACGGAUGUCGUGGUGAUGUAUGAUCACAACACCCAGAGACCAAGAGGCUUUGGAUUCAUCACCUAUGAUUCAGAGGAUGCGGUGGACAAAGUGUUGCUUAAAACUUUCCAUGAACUGAAUGGUAAAAUGGUUGAGGUCAAGCGUGCAGUCCCCAAAGAGUUGUCGCCAGGUCCUAGCCGAAGCCCACUUGGUGGAUAUAACUAUGGUUUGAGUAGGAUCAACAGCUUGCUCAAUGGCUACACUCAAGGGUACUCUCCAAAUACAGUUGGAGGCUAUGGCCUUAGAAUGGAUGGUAGAUUUAAUCCGAUCACUGGUGGUCGAAGUGGGUAUGCUCCAUUUGGUUCUGGUUAUGGAAUGGGUUUGAACUUCGAACCAGGGUUGAAUCCAAAUUUCGGGGGAAGUGCAAACUUAAAUAGUAAUCUGACCUAUGGACGGGGAUUGAACCCUUAUUAUGUUGGUAAUUCAAAUAGGUUUGCGAAUCCUGUUGGGUAUGAUGGAGGGAAUGGAGGAAACACUUCCUUUUUCAGCUCGGGGAAUCGGAAUUUGUGGGGGAAUGGAGGACUUAAUUACGGAACAAGCUCAGCAGGUUCGAGUGCCUUUGUAGGGUCUGGAGGUGGAAGCAUUGGAGGCCCCUUUGCCAACAGUGGAUUUAAUUGGGGUUCUUCUCCAAUUUCACCCCAAGGUGAAGCUAAUGUUUCUAGCCAAGGUGGAAAUCUUGGUUAUGGAGGUGGUGAUAAUAGCUAUGGUUUGGGCGGGGGAGUGUAUGCAAGAAAUGCUGCGACUAGUGCCCCCCCCUCAUCAUCGUAUGCUGCAUCAAAUGGUGGUUAUGAUGGGGCUUUUGCUGAUUUUUAUGGUGGUAGUUCAGUUUACGGGGACCCUACUUGGCGUUCGACAAACUUUGAGAGAGAGGGAUCUGCUUCGUUUGGUUAUGGGCUUGGCAACGGAGAGUCCGAUAUACUGCCUCAAAGUCCUUCUGGUUUUGGCGGUGGUUAUAGUAUUACUAAGAGACAGACAAAUAGAGGUGGGUGAUUGCAUGUCUCCUAUUUUUUGUGCGAGCUAGUGGGAUGUACCUCUCCACCAAGCUUGUUAUCCACUUAUCUAUAAGGAAUUGCUGGUUAGGUGGAUAUAUCAGAUAUCAGUAUGUUUUAGUAGGUGAAGAAAUUUGGUGUAGCUGUUGAAUUGUGAAUUUUGCACACUCCCUCGUGAAUAUAUCCUGGUUAAAAAAAAGUUGAAAGGAAAUUCGUUAUCUUAUCUAGAGCUAACUGGAGUGUCUGUUUUGAAGAAUUAAGUUUUAGAGAUAGAAAUUACAUGAGAUUUUGUGUUAAAAGGAUUGAGUUUUGAGUUACCAUCUUAGGGUUUAUUUUUUUGGAAUUUGAGUGAGAUGUAAAAUCAGCUAGCGGAAUAUAUAGUCAGAAGAAAUGUAUCAUGCAUCUCUGGUGAGGCGGCGAUACAUACAUGAAGGACAGACUACGAUUUUGGAAUUUUAAUUUCUAGAAUUCUAUUUCCUGCUGUAAUGUUCUCUGCAAAGUUGCGAGUUCUUAUCAGCUAAUCCUUGUUUUGUUUUUCUUGUUCCCUUCAUUGGAUUUUGUUCUUCCUCAGAUUGUACUUCCAGAGGUUGUUGUGAUUUAGUAGUGUGAAUCAUUUUGAGGGAUACCCAUCUAGGGUUCCCGGGAAUAAGUUGCCACAUUCUGAUUCUUUUUCCAUUGAACUUUCUUUCUUUACUACAAGUUUGACAUGCGUGAAACGAACUGUGUAACGAAUAUUUGACAUUAUGAUUUGUUUGGGAAAUACAAACUCACCUAAACAUUAUAUGUGA